rnacentral:rRNA from 1 species
AAUAGAUACCCGGGUAGUCCUGGCCGUAAACGAUGACCACCAGGUGUGGGAGGUAUCGACCCCUUCCGUGCCAUAGGAAACCUGUUCAGUGGUCCGCCUGGGGAGUACGGUCGCAAGAUUAAAACUCAAAGGAAUUGACGGGGACCCGCACAAGCAGCGGAGCGUGUGGUUUAAUUCGAUGCGACGCGCAGAACCUUACCAGGGCUUGACAUGCAGGUGUCCCUCCUGGAGACAGGAGUCCUCGCAAGAGGCGCUUGCACAGGUGCUGCAUGGCUGUCGUCAGCUCGUGCCGUGAGGUGUUGGGUUAAGUCCCGCAACGAGCGCAACCCCCGUGCUCGGUUAGGAUGUCCGAGCAGACUGCCACGCUAAACGUGGAGGAAGGUGGGGAUGACGUCAAGUCAGCACGGCCCUUACGUCCUGGGCUACACACACGCUACAAUGGUCGCGACAACGAGGAGCCAACCCGCGAGGGGGAGCCAAUCUUGCAAACGCGAUCCCAGUUCGGAUGGCAGGCUGCAACCCGCCUG